AAUUCAGUGGUAGAGUGUGUGCUUUGCAUGCACAAGGCACUGGGUUCAAUCCCCAG
rnacentral:tRNA from 1 species